rnacentral:rRNA from 1 species
GAUGAACGCUAGCGGCAGGCUUAACACAUGCAAGUCGUGGGGCAGCGGGGACUUCGGUCCGCCGGCGACCGGCAAACGGGUGCGGAACACGUACGCAACCUCCCUCAGAGCGGGGAAUAGCCUCUCGAAAGAGAGAUUAAUACCCCAUAGCAUCUUAGAGACACACGUCUUUGAGAUUAAAGCUUCGGCACUUUGAGAUGGGCGUGCGGCUGAUUAGGUAGUUGGUAGGUAACGGCCUACCAAGCCAACGAUCAGUAGCUGAUGUGAGAGCAUGAUCAGCCACACGGGCACUGGAGACACGGGCCCGACUCCUACGGGAGGCAGCAGUGAGGAAUAUUGGUCAAUGGAGGAAACUCUGAACCAGCCAUGCCGCGUGGAGGAU